UACGUAGGUGGCAAGCGUUGUCCGGAUUUACUGGGUGUAAAGGGCGUGUAGGCGGAAUUACAAGUCAGAUGUGAAAUGCGGGGGCUUAACCCCCGGACUGCAUUUGAAACUGUUAUUCUUGAGUGAUGGAGAGGUAAGCGGAAUUCCCGGUGUAGCGGUAAAAUGCGUAGAUAUCGGGAGGAACACCAGUGGCGAAGGCGGCUUACUGGACAUUAACUGACGCUGAGGCGCGAAAGUGUGGGGAGCAAACAGGAUUAGAUACCCUGGUAGUCCACACCGUAAACGAUGGAUACUAGGUGUGGGGGGACUGACCCCUUCCGUGCCGGAGUUAACACAAUAAGUAUCCCACCUGGGGAGUACGGUCGCAAGAUUAAA
rnacentral:rRNA from 1 species